rfam:Triticum aestivum genome assembly, contig: Triticum_aestivum_CS42_TGACv1_scaffold_392872_5AS
UUCAUACUUCCUCCGUUUCAAAUUACUCGUCGCAGAGAUGGAUGUAUCUAGAACUAAAAUACAUUUAGAUACAUCCAUACCUGUGACAAGUAAUCCGAAACGGAGGGAGUAGCUU